rnacentral:lncRNA from 1 species
CUUAAAACUUGAAUAAACCUUCUUGUAGCAAUUGCUGAUGCUAGAGGCUAAGCUAUUUUCGAGUGUGCUAUUUUUGGGUGCUUUUUCCUCCUAUGAUCGGCAUACAGACAUGCAGAUGGAUAUUGAUAAUAUGUCUUAUGAGGUACUAUCUUUUAUCAUAUCUUAUCCUGCCUGGAUGUUGGAGGGGUUUUGUUACAGGAUUAUUUUCUUUGUGGAGGAUUCUGCUCGGUGUGUGAACCUCUGUCUUCGCGCUCUCGCUUGACUGUUGAUUUGACUAAUUUGGUUGCUUAGAUGUGGCUCUUAUUAGAAACCAUAUGUGGAUAGGCUUGCACUGUGUACACGGUGGCAUUGGUAAACGUUGUGACCACACUGUGAUAAUGUAUGGAUUCCAUCAAUUUAUUUUAUUCGUCAAUUGAUCAUGGUUGUGAUCUAUUUUGUUUAGAUAUUCUAUGAUUUGAAUUUUCCCUCUUUUUUGUUAUAUUUCUUCCUUAACUAUAAUGAUUGUGAUGAAACUUUAUUGUUGUGGAAUUUCUCAUCUAUGUUACAAGAUAGCUAUUCACCUCCUCUGCUCACAUGAUACUUCUUAUUCAUUGCCAGCCAAUUUAAUUAAUUGCCCUCGGUUGAAUUGGUUCCUUUGCCAUUUUACUUAGGAGGAUAAAAGAAGACACUACCUUGGCACAUGCAUGUUGCCACAAUGGACAAAAGAAGAUUAGUGUUGUGUGAGAUUUUUUUUCAUUCCUUUGAUCUAUUGCAUGCUAUUUGUACCCCAAUUGACAAAAUAGAUGAGACUCAAUUCAGGAGCAAAUCACCAGUCCUAUUCACAAUCCAAUUCGCUAUGGCUAAAAUAUCAAACUUAUGCUCCUUGAGGUUUGUUUUUCCUGAUCUUCCUUUAAUAUCUGAUGACUGAUGGACUGGUGAGUUCAUGAUGUGCUUCAUGCUUUUUCUUUUAUAUAUGGUCACUACCUCACUGGUUAGUUCAUGGUCUGUUGGAUGUCUAAACCUACCAUAUUGGUCUGAUUGUGUGUGUGUGUGUGUGUAUAUAUAUAUAUAUAUAUAUAUAUAUAUAUAUAUAUAUAUAUAUAUAUAUAUAUAUAUAUAUAUAUAUAUAUAUAUAUAUAUAUAUAUAUAUCAUUGUAUUUAAUGGUCACUUGGUUUUGCUUGGGUUAUAUAUACAUGUGGGGGACAUCAGAACAAAAGUACGUGUUUCUGCUUUAACAUGACAUGACAACAUUGUAUGUUCAGUGUUUGUUCGGCCUAUGGUAAGAAUGCAUUUUAACCUGUCAAGUUCACGAUUCACCACAAUAUUCGGCCAAAUGGUACACAAUAUUUCAUGAUGUAGUUUUAUUUGGAGUCACUCCCUCAAUUAACCAAUGGAUUAUUUGAAGCAGUGUCUCUGUUUUGUGGAAACUUUGCUUCUUUGAAAAUACCUGCAAUCGAUUGUCUUACUAAAGUUUAGAGUGUAAUAAUAAGGAAAAUGAGCAACCUUGAUAGAAUUCAUACCUUCAAUCUAUUUUUGCUAUGGUAAGUACUCUUAUGUGUCAUGCCUUACUGUUCAUCCAUUCUCAAGUAUACUCUUUGAUCUUUUGAUAUGUGUGCAGGCCCAGAACAUCUGCAAUUUAGUUUUUGAUAAGUCCUCCAAGAUUUGGUUAGUUGCUUCAUGCUUUCUCUUUUUCUCUCUUAAUACUUAGCUCAAUUUUGUUCAUACUGGUAUGUUUGAUCUGUGCAAUACUGCUAUGUGCUAUUUUAUUUCAGUCUAGGAGGUUACGACAGAGUCUCAUUCGAUUUGCAGUGAUUCAGUUUUCAGUGAAAAUACUACUAAACUGAAUUGUCUAUUCUCCUCCUUGUUCUGGUGCUUGUUUCUAGAAUCUCUAUUAGCAAGGAUAUCUUUUGAGAUUAUGUUUCUGCUAACCCCAGGUUUCUUUUCAGCACCACAAAUUUUCUUAUUAGUCUUCUUCACUAUAUUCUUUUUUAGCAAUGCUAGAUCAUCCUUCAAUAUAGAGCUAAUGAAGCACCU